CCUACGGGCGGCUGCAGUGAGGAAUAUUGGUCAAUGGACGAGAGCCUGAACCAGCCAAGUCGCGUGAAGGAUGACUGCCCUAUGGGUUGUAAACUUCUUUUAUCUGGGAAUAAAGCAGGGUACGCAUACCCUCUUGUAUGUUCCCUACGAAUAAGGCUCGGCUAACGCCGUUCCAGCAGCCGGGGUAAUACCGAGGAUCCGAGGGUUAUUCGGCUUUAUUGGGUUUAAAGGGCGCGGAGGUGGCUUGUUAAGGCAGUUGUGAAAGUUUGCGGCUCAACCGUAGAAUUGCAGUUGAAACUGGCAGUCUUGAGUACGGUAGAGGUAGGCGGAAUUCGUGGUGUAGCGGUGAAAUGCAUAGAUAUCACGAAGAACUCCGAUUGCGAAGGCAGCAUACUGGACUGCAACUGACGCUGAGGCUCGAAAGUGUGGGGAUCGAACAGGAUUAGAUACCAGAGUAGUC
rnacentral:rRNA from 1 species